rnacentral:piRNA from 1 species
AUUCAUCUGUCCACCAAGUGGGA